rnacentral:rRNA from 1 species
UACAGAGACUGCAAGCGUUAUUCGGAUUCACUGGGCGUAAAGGGUGCGCAGGCGGUUUGGUGUGUCAGAUGUGAAAUCCCGAGGCUCAACCUCGGAACUGCGUCUGAAACUACUCGACUAGAGUACUGGAGAGGGUAACGGAAUUCACGGUGUAGCAGUGAAAUGCGUAGAUAUCGUGAGGAACACCAGAGGCGAAGGCGGUUACCUGGACAGUUACUGACGCUCAGGCACGAAAGCAUGGGGAGCAAAAGGG